rnacentral:lncRNA from 1 species
AUUCAUGGUCAUAUUGUUCCUAUUUCUGCUUUUAUUGCUUGUCAUUUGAGCUUGUCGAAAGGCACAACCGUUGAGGGCUUCAAAUUUGCCAUACCCAAAUAUGAUCCUGUCAUGUUCCUCGUUGCACAGUAACAGGAAGAUGAAUACUAAAUGGCCAAUUAGAGGCCAGCUCAGAACUCGGUGGUCGCGCUAAUCGUGGAGCAAAGCAGAUUCAAGGAACCGUUCGCACAACGGCGUAAUUUCUUCUGUUUCGCCUCCCGCUGUUCAUAACUCCCUCAAACUUCCCCUCCUCCUGCACCAAAACUCAAUUAUUUACGCGCGCAUCCAGGUUGUGCAAGUGCAAUUAUUGUUUGCUCAAAUUAAGAUUAAUUUAGUAAAAAGUCCAGAAAUACAUUGCUCACAAGUUGUGUGAACUUUCGGUCUAAUUUCCCAGACGCGUUCCUAGAUUGCAAUGUAUGUCCACUGUUGAGUAUGUUUGUGUGUGUGUGUGUGUGUGUGUAAUUGCGUGUGCGCGCGCUUGCAGACAACGGUUAUUGAGAACAGAUUGCGCAGUGCUUCACCCUCAAACUCCAUGAUGAACUGAUUACUGAGAAUCCCGAAACGAAGGCAUAACCGUUACCACCUAGCGUACAAUAUGUAGGCACUUCUUACAAUUUUUAAUUGAUGACUCUGCAGGGUCUACAAUAACGAAUUGAUUUGUUCUAAAUGAAUUCACUCUUGCAUUGUCUAGCAGCUGGAAUAGACACACUGACUUGUGCUGGGAGAGAGACGGAAGUUGGCACCUGCUUGCACAUUCAAUCUCUCAUUUCAGGGUUCGCGUUGCGAAAAUGUGCUGUAGUCUCGUGAGGAAAGGAUCCAUUCGCUUCCCACUCGGUGAAACAAACGCGACUGGGAGAGCGCACAUUCGAAAACCAGCCGGGUUGUGAGGAAGGAAGCUCAAGGGAGGGUGGCUUGGUUACACUGUGACCCUGAACGAAAGAUUUUUCCUGCUGUCGCCAAGUAACUAGGUCUCGCGGUUCCUACAUGUCGUUAUAAACGCACCUGCUAAUCAAUGUGAAAAAACCCUACCAUGCACGGCGCGGGAUAACAAUGCACCGUGCCUAAAAUCUCUAGAUGCCUAAAGCCACAACCACAACCACUGUUGAGUACUACUCAAAGUCUGCCGCUGUCUGCUCUGUCCAUUUCCGUCGGGGCUGAACACGUUGGGCAAACAGCAUCACCAUUAAUUCGUGAACCCACUUGGGAGACGGAGGGAAGUAACUAAGCAUAUUAAUGACGUGGUACGCUGCCCCUGGAUAUGAACCUCCGUUAACCUCGGCAGAAAAGCUGAUGUAAUUGUGUUCAGUUAGCGCCCAAAAUUAUGAAUAAGUUGUUAGUUUACAACUUCGGACAUUUUAAGACGUUCGCAAUUUGGUGAGGGAGAAACUGCUGCACCCGAUUCCUAUGACACAGCGGUGGUGAACACAAUCCAACAUCAUAACUGACAUGAGGAAUUCGAGCAUACCAGCGUAGAAAUCCGUGGUGCUCGAGCUAUUGAAAUCGGAGAUGAACUUCUUCAAUGCAUUGCAGAUGCCGACUCCGGUUGUAUGCUCAGAGAGUGUUAUUUCGUUUCGGAGGUGGGUUCUGCAGUUUGGUAGGUUGUUCAGCUCUCCCCAGACGAUUGAAUUGGACUGAUGUGGAGGACCAAACAUUGUCGAUUCAACGAUAUUGCUCAAUUAGGGAUCUUGUGAUCCACAGAUGGCUUAAAAUCAGUCAGCGCCAGUGAUUUUGCCCACUAUGUGAAGGUAACUUCGACUGACAUGGUGCUCUCGACACGGCUACGCUGACAUCCAUGCAACGUGAACUCCGUC